GGCACGCCUUAUACAUGCAAGUCGAACGGAGUAGCAAUACUCAGUGGCAGACGGGUGAGUAACAUGUAGGUAUCUUCCCUUUGGUGAGGAAUAACACGAGGAAACUUGUGCUAAUACCUCAUAAGUCUUUACGGAGAAAGCUUUAUGCGCCAUUGGAUGAGCCUGCACUUGAUUAGUUUGUUGGUGGGGUAAUGGCCCACCAAGACUUUGAUCAAUAGCUGAUUUGAGAGGAUGAUCAGCCACAUUGGGACUGAGACACGGCCCAAACUCCUACGGGAGGCAGCAGUAGGGAAUCUUGCACAAUGGAGGAAACUCUGAUGCAGCGAUGCCGCGUGAGUGAAGAAGGCCCUUGGGUUGUAAAGCUCUUUCGUCGGGGAAGAAAAUGACUGUACCCGAAUAAGAAGGUCCGGCUAACUUCGUGCCAGCAGCCGCGGUAAUACGAAGGGACCUAGCGUAGUUCGGAAUUACUGGGCUUAAAGAGUUCGUAGGUGGUUAAAAAAGUUGGUGGUGAAAUCCCAGAGCUUAACUCUGGAACUGCCAUCAAAACUUUUUAGCUAGAGUAUGAUAGAGGAAAGCAGAAUUUCUAGUGUAGAGGUGAAAUUCGUAGAUAUUAGAAAGAAUACCAAUUGCGAAGGCAGCUUUCUGGAUCAUUACUGACACUGAGGAACGAAAGCAUGGGUAGCGAAGAGGAUUAGAUACCCUCGUAGUCCAUGCCGUAAACGAUGUGUGUUAGACGUUGGAAAUUUAUUUUCAGUGUCGCAGCGAAAGCAAUAAACACACCGCCUGGGGAGU
rnacentral:rRNA from 1 species